rnacentral:rRNA from 1 species
CGUUGUUCGGAAUCACUGGGCUUAAAGGGCGCGUAGGCGGAUUCUCAAGUCCGGGGUGAAAUCCCACAGCUCAACUGUGGAACUGCCUCGGAUACUGGGAGUCUCGAGGGUGGCAGGGGUAUGCGGAACUAUCGGUGGAGCGGUGAAAUGCGUUGAUAUCGAUAGGAACUCCGGUGGCGAAGGCGGCAUACUGGUCCACUUCUGACGCUGAGGCGCGAAAGCCAGGGGAGCAAACGGG